UGUAGGCGUGUGUCAGACAGAACAUUGUGUUAAGUCAGCGGCACAAAUUUUAUCUUACUUAAACAAGAGUGUAGCUCCGUGUGACAACUUCUAUGAAUAUGCAUGCGGUCAGUGGGUCAAAGAUCAAAUCUUCAAGGUCAAGGAAACAAAGAUAGAUUUAGACCUGACAGUAGUAAAUGGACUCGAAAAAAGACUCAAAUAUCUGUUGAGCCACGAAGUGGACGGCGAGUCGAGAUUCAAGAGAAAUGUCAAAAUAUUUUACAAGUCAUGUCUGAACGGCCGGGCAGUUACAAAGCCUACCAAGACAAUCGAUGAAGAGGAAGAGGC